rnacentral:rRNA from 1 species
UGGAAAGGCGCGCGAUACAGGGUGACAGCCCCGUACACAAAAGCGCAUGUGCUGUGAGCUCGAUGAGUAGGGCGGGACACGUGGUAUCCUGUCUGAAUAUGGGGGGACCAUCCUCCAAGGCUAAAUACUCCUGACUGACCGAUAGUGAACCAGUACCGUGAGGGAAAGGCGAAAAGAACCCCGGCGAGGGGAGUGAAAAAGAACCUGAAACCGU